CGCCGGUGCCUAGCCUCUGCCCCGACUCCAGCGAUGCCACUGCCGGCACCGAUUUUCCAGCCUCGGCUACCUUUCCUCUAUGCCCUAGCAUCUCUGCCGAUGCCACUGUCUCUCUUUCUCCCGACGCCGAGCAGCACCGAGCCCUAGGUGCCAACGCCGUCGACGCCUUUUUCCGACCUCUUCUGUGCCACUCCGAGACUCCUUGUCCGAGUUCUCACCGUGCCCUAGCCCCCGCUCAGCAGAUAGCCGGCUGCCAACACUCAAAGCAAAUGUCGAUUUGUAGCCUCUGCCCUAGCCUCUGUUUCCGACGCUGGUAAGGGUUCUGCCGUGGCCACCACUUGGGAUCUGUAUGUCGUCGUCGCCCCUUUGCUCUGGUUUACUGCCUCAGUAGCCCUUGCUGGAAACAACACCGGUGACCUAACUCCUCCGUCCUCUAAUCCAGUGAGCUACUGGAUGAAGCAUCAAGAGUUUGUUGCUGUCUCUGUUUGAUUCCGGCCACCACCCCCUGUCAACAGCUUGACACACCUGAGUAGGAAGGAUUCCAGCAGCAAACGAUCCUACUUCCAACAGUGAUAAAACGGCUGUGAGUUUCAGGAUCUUGACGCGAGACGAGUAUCUUGGAGUCAGAUUUGGAUCACUUUAUUGGAGG